GACCUUUUUCCUAACUUUCUUUCAGAUGCGGAUGGAUCGACCUCCCGGCAGAGCGCCUCGUCCCAGAUGAGGGGAUCCCCCUGAGAAGGAAGUAAAGCCGGAUAGCAGCAGUGAAGGUGAAGCAUUGUGAAGGUGGUCUACUUGCAAGAUAUCCCAGCCCAGGAUGCCAGAGGACAGGUUCCGUGCAGAGAGGCAGAGCCGAAGUUUGCGAUCGGCCGCACCGAAGCCGGCGCGGGGGAUGUCUCGAUGUACACAUCCUAUCGAGGAUGGGUCUUGUCCUAUUAUGUUACAAAAGGUCUCCGAUACCUAUUUUCUGAGGAUCUACCAUUUGAUGUUGAGAAGCAGCAGCGAGAAGAUAUCUCGGGGCAUUUUGUUUAGCACAGUGUUUUAAAUAAGGGUUGUGGUCACUGUGUGAGUUAGAGUCUCCCGCUGUGUGUCAGAGCGUGUCUGUCUGUGAGAGUCGGUGGGUCUGGGUGUG